rnacentral:rRNA from 1 species
CCUUGACCUCAAAUCGGGUGAGACUACCCGCUGAACUUAAGCAUAUCAAUAAGCCCAGGA